AGGGGGGAAGAGAGAGAGUGUUGGGGGGGGGGGGAAUGGGAAGAGAAUCGCGUUAAACAGAAAAGAAAAAGCAGCAGACCUACAAGAAGCACAACACAUGCUCGUGCAUACUAGAGUUUGCUAUUAAACAAGAUUUUUUUUGGUUGCGAUUGUUGCUGCUGAAUACGGGCCGCCAUCAUCAGUAGAUGAGAGGACUCAGCCAGGCCCCACCGAUACAGGAUUAUCCGAUAGAAGAAGAAGAAGAAGAAGCAAAAAAAAAAUUCAAGCCAGGGAAAAAAAAAAUUACUGAAGGUUACGAUCGGCCCGUCAACAGCCCGCUUGUAACAAAACUGUCGUCUCUCAUGGCUUUUUGCCACUCCAGCUGUCAAUCAAAGCAGGGUUGUCAAGGUAUUGAAUGAAUGAUGAUCUGCCGUUGCAACAACUCUGGCUGCCUUGGACCGCUAUCUCACUGUAAAAAAACAGCGAUGAAAAAACGUUCACGAGGAGUUAACAACACACGAAAAAAAUAACAGCGAGAAAGUGGGUGGAAGGCAGCUUCGGCUUCUUUCGUAGCUUUUUUUUGUUGUUUGUUUGAAUAAGUGGCUGUCAGUAAGUAUUGAGGAGGUGGCAGGUUGGGAGGUUGGUUGGUUACAGAGUGAGUGUGUUGUCAGUAAUAAUGCGCUGGCAGCGCUGAGCGGCGGCGGCGGGAGAAUGACGGAACCCGGAAGUAGUGGUGGCCAUAGCCAGUCGUACGCCAAGCUGUCUCUCAUAUGCAGACUAUGCAAUCGGACCGCUGCAAGUCAUGGGGGGGGGAGUUGCGGGGAGGCGGGGGGAGCCAGAAGCGAAAAAAAGCCUCACUCAGAACACCCCCCCCCCUCAUCAGAUUGUAAAACAGAUCUCUAAAUCAAUCAGCAUGAUGUUAUCUGAGCGAGAUUCAUCUUUCCCGUAAAGAGACGUACAACUUCUGAAGAUCCAGCUACCCUCCGAGACGGUCCUCCAAUAAGCAUUCUUCUGCUAUACUGUACUGGCGACUCGUCUUGCAACAGAUUUGCAGAUUUCUGUUAUCGAUGUGAGAUACCCCCAACCAACUGAGAAUCGUAUCCUGAAAUGCAGCCUUUUAUAUAAUAUUUCAAUCGGGAUUCGAGUAGCUGCCGUUCAAAUAAUGCAAAUCGGUGUCCGGUUAUGGAGUGCAUCUCCAUCAACAAGCAGAUAGCAGGGGAUAGCCGAAGAUUGCUUUAACAGCCGGUAUCAGUUCAUUACGGAGUGGUGGGAAGUACAAUAUUUCUGGUACAAAGUCAUAACAAGGAAGGAGUCAAGAAAGGAAGGCGAUAAAUACUGGAGACUUGCAGUUAUUUUCGUGCCCUCGUUAAAAAGAGACGCAUUUGAAUGUCUUCCUCGUUGACCAGAGUUAACGCUGGUUUUGCUUUGAUGUUGAUUGUCCUUCAGUCCAAGUUUAUGUGUGUUGUUUCGGAGCGUGUGUUCACCCCCCCCCCCCAGCCCCGAUUGUAUAUGAUGUAUUCCAACCCUCGCUGCAAAAGUUUGAAGUCUCUACUCGUUCAGGAAAUGAGGUAAAAGCACGGGUUUGAAUAGGUCAGUCUGCAGCGUGUUUCUGCAGCUUUCCAAGAAUUCUAUAUUCUAAUCGGGCUCGGUAUUAGUUUUACAGUUUGUUUAUUUGUUUUAGAGAUCGUGAUUUAAAUUCCCACCGCCUCCACACCCUCCCCCAACAACAAAAAGUGGAAAGGAAGAUCGAGGACGAUUAUUGGUGAACUUUGCCUGACCCCAAUGUAAGUCCAGGCUGAAGGAAAAUCUCCCCACUGAGUGAGUGUUCAGCCGUUACCUGUGAACCGUCGUAUAUUAAACGCACCGGGUCUCGCUUUAUACCCUACCGCAAUCUCGCCACAACCCAGAGAGAGGGGGGGGGGGGGAACAGGCGACGUGAACUUUCGGCAGAUGUUCUGCUGUGGUCUGCGAGAAAUUCAUUGGAAGGCACGGUUUCAUAGACAGCCCUUUAGCGCUAUCUGGCGGGACUGACUGUAGCAAUCCGAUCGCUGAUCCAAACAUAUUCUCUCACCCCCCACCCCAAAAAUAUCCGUGAACCUUGCAGCCGCGCGAAGUUCAGUUGACCAGCACCACCGGGUCAGUGAUAUGGUUUUAAAAUGAACAGAUUAAAUUGUGCCAAUCGAACCAAUUUGAAAUAAAGCUCAAUUUGAUAACGCCACGUCCAACACGCUGGUGAUCUCAUUUCGUUUUCAUUAUCGAAGGAGUGAACUUUUCAACAGCCGCGCUGCCGAGAAAGGCGAAUUGCGCUAUUUUGCCAAAACUGUCCGUUCGCUUGAUGGCCGUACAAUUUCUAUUGAUAGGUUUUUGCCCCUAAUGUUUCAAAAGUAAUACAUUUUGUUUCGGGAUUUAAGGGCGGUUAUUGCUAAAUUGUCACGCCUGGGCGCCGAUGUUCCUUUCCUUAAUCGCAUUUU